rnacentral:rRNA from 1 species
AGAGUUUGAUCCUGGCUCAGGGUGAACGCUAGUAGUAUGCUUAACACAUGCGAGUCGAACGAAAACAUUGUUUUCGUGGCGUACGGGUGAGUAAUACACAGGAAUCUGCCUUUUAGUUCAGCCUAAAAUUCUGAAUAUUUAAAGAAAACUUUUCGCUAAAAGAUGAGCCUGUGGAGGAUUAGGUAGUUGGUGCGGGUAAAAGCCUACCAAGCCUCUGAUCCUUAGCUGUUCUGAGAGGAAGUACAGCCACACUGGGACUGAGACAAGGCCCAGGCUCCAUUUGGAGCCAGCAGUGAGGAAUUUUGGACAAUGAGCGAAAGCUUGAUCCAGCAAUACUACAUGAGUGAUGAAGGCUUUCAAGUUGUAAAACUCUUUGGUUGAGGAGGAUAAUGACAGUACUCAACAAAAUAGCCCCGGCUAACUUCGUGCCAGCAGCCGCGGUAAGACGAAGGGGGCGAGCGUUAUCCGGAAUGACUGGGCGUAAAGGGUCCGUAGGCAGCAUUUUCUGUUAAUUGUGAAAGAAAAAAGCCCAACUUUUUUUAGCUUUUAAUACAUUAAUGCUUAGAGUUUGAGAGGGGAUAGCAGAAUUUCACAUGGAGGGGUGAUAUCCGUAGAUAUGUGAAGGAAUACCAGAGGCGAAGGCGGCUAUCUAGCUCAAUACUGACGUUGAGGGACGAAAGCAUGGGGAGCAAACAGGAUUAGAUACCCUGGUAGUCC